ACCUAGCUGGCCCAGUUGGUAGAGCAUGAGACUCUUGAUCUUGGGGUUGUGACUUCAAGCCCCACAUUGGGUA
rnacentral:tRNA from 1 species